GUCCGACUCUUGCAGGAUAAAAGCCUCAC
rnacentral:sRNA from 1 species